rnacentral:piRNA from 1 species
UUGCUGUCUGGAUUAGUUUUCCUGUC